UUUCCGUAGGUGAACCUGCGGAAGGAUCAUUACCGAGGGAGGGCCCUCUGGGUCCAACCUCCCACCCGCGUUUAUUUACCUUGUUGCUUCGGCGAGCCUGCCUUUUGGCUGCCGGGGGACGUCAGUCCCCGGGUCCGUGCUCGCCGGAGACACCUUAGAACUCUGUCUGAAGAUUGUAGUCUGAGAUUAAAUAUAAAUUAUUUAAAACUUUCAACAACGGAUCUCUUGGUUCCG
rnacentral:misc_RNA from 1 species